rnacentral:rRNA from 1 species
UGAACGCUGGCGGCAUGCCUAACACAUGCAAGUCGAACGAGAUCUUCGGAUCUAGUGGCGCACGGGUGAGUAACGCGUGGGAACCUACCUUUUAGUAUGGGAUAACGUUUGGAAACGAACGCUAAUACCGUAUACGCCCUCCGGGGGAAAGGUCAGCCGCUGAAAGAGGGGCCCGCGUCUGAUUAGCUUGUUGGUAGGGUAAUGGCCUACCAAGGCUACGAUCAGUAGCUGGUCUGAGAGGAUGAUCAGCCACACUGGGACUGAGACACGGCCCAGACUCCUACGGGAGGCAGCAGUGGGGAAUAUUGGACAAUGGAGGCAACUCUGAUCCAGCAAUGCCGCGUGUGUGAUGAAGGCCCUAGGGUUGUAAAGCACUUUCAACGGUGAAGAUGAUGACGGUAGCCGUAGAAGAAGCCCCGG